CUGGGGAAGAUGUUUCUCAGCAACAGUGCUACCCUGCUGGACAGCUGGUGAUUUUUACCAUAAAACAAGAUAGUAAUAAGGAUAGAAUGAGACACCACCGGCUUUGCUCCAUCCCUUUGGGAAGACAGCACACCCAGAGCUCAAGUCUGCUGCUCAUUCUGGAAGGGGAGAUGUCCUGGGCCCAGGGUUUGGAAAUGUCUUCUUGGACAAGCUUAAGCCGUCUCAUUGAAGAUUUUCAAUGGCCUUUCGGAAUUACGGGACUUACCCAGCUCUGCCAGGUUUAUUAAUCCAGCCUAUAAGCUUCUCUAGACCUAGGACUAUGGUGCCUGCACAGAAGAUGUGCUCAACAUAUAACUGAUUAAAUAACUUAAUGAGUAAAUGAAGGACUGGACUCGUUUGUGGGCCAUAUUUGGAGGUGACUUUGUAAACUCUAACAGCAUGGGAUUUUAAUAAGCUGUCUUCAUAGCUUGGACCAUGGGCUUAGGACAGUGUUGGGUACGUUAUUGAUGAUCAAGGAAUACUGAAGAGCUGUUUUCCUAUUUUGGUGCAGAUGUGGAGAGAGGAUUGCUUGAGACUCUUCCCAGCUCUUGAGAUUCCAUCUCGUGCAUAUCUCUUCUACACUCAAUCAGCAUCUCUAGAGGAGGUGCCAGCUCUCUCAACAAGUAAUUCCUUUUGGCCCCAUCACAGAAGGGAAGUACAAUCAACAGCAAUGAAGCUUCUUUAUUCCUUGCUAAUUUAGUGCCACGACACAUGAUAUGCACAGCUUUGUGAGUGGGAGGGUUUCAAAGCAGGAAGCUUUGGAUCUGACUUAGGGAGGCUGGUUAUCCACUUACGAUACUUGACUUAGCAGAAGCCAGUCUUUGUGAAAGCUGUUAUGGGGCCCCCUGCUGGCAUUGUGACAUGGAGACACUUCAUCUUCAGUGAACCUACAGUUCCCUCUGGGAAGCUUCAAGUUCAACAGGGCUGUGGACUUGCAGAGAUUCUUGCUGUAGGCUAGGAAAGUAGAUUGUAGUACUAGUACUACUGCUAGUACUACGUUUUCUACUAUCUUUGGGUUUCUUGGGCCACUUUGAAACUCUAACCACAGUGUUUUCAAACUUGCAAUG
rnacentral:lncRNA from 1 species